CUCCCAGUUCACCCUCCAGGAACCACUGAUGACAACUGAAAAAAGGUGAGCAUUAUCUUAUUUGGUCAUUUGUCCUCUUAAACAAUCCUAGAAAACUUUUCAGAACUAAGAUUUACAGCUCAUAGUUGGUCCUCAGGAGUUCAUCUAGUCAACCAUUAGCUAUGAUUUGGUUUUGCCUGCAUGCCUGAAAUGCCCAGUUUUCUCUCAAGCAUAGCUGUUUGUUAGUGUGCAUGUCUUGAACAGAUGUGAUGAAUUUUAUUGCUCUUUCUUUUCAUUCUUUCUACAAUUUGUAUCUUCAGGAAAAGACAGUGCUUAAAUAUGAAUGUAUGAUAACCAUUCUCACCAUAUGCUGCAUUGCUUUUUUAAACUACAGAAUCUACUCCCAUAUUCUUAGCAGGGGAAAAGAAAGAAGACUCGCUUCUUUGUCUUUAACGGAAAAGAUCUAAUGGACAAUGUGUUUCCAGUUGAUUACAAUAAAACUCAAGUAUUUUGAGAAGGACAAUAAACACAGUCUAGAUACUUUCAGCUGCUUCAAAAUCUCACACAGCUCGCACUGGCUCUGUGAAAGUAUCCAUCUACUUAAGCUUUCCUUCUGCUUACAAUAGAACUCAUUUCCCCAGGAAUUCUGCUGGACCUCAUCUGCAGAGCUCAG
ensembl:lncRNA